rnacentral:rRNA from 1 species
UACGGAGGGUGCAAGCAUUAAUCGGAAUUAUUGGGCGUAAAGGGCGCGUAGGCGGAUGGGCAAGUCAGAUGUGAAAUUCCGGAGCUCAACUUCGGAGCUGCAUUUGAAACUACCUGUCUUGAGGAUUGGCGGAGAAAAUGGAAUUCCACGUGUAGCGGUGAAAUGCGUAGAUAUGUGGAAGAACACCGGUGGCGAAGGCGGUUUUCUAGCUUAUUCCUGACGCUGAGGCGCGAAAGCAAGGGGAUCAAACAGG